rnacentral:rRNA from 1 species
UGGGGAAUAUUGCACAAUGGGCGCAAGCCUGAUGCAGCCAUGCCGCGUGUAUGAAGAAGGCCUUCGGGUUGUAAAGUACUUUCAGCGGGGAGGAAGGGAGUAAAGUUAAUACCUUUGCUCAUUGACGUUACCCGCAGAAGAAGCACCGGCUAACUCCGUGCCAGCAGCCGCGGUAAUACGGAGGGUGCAAGCGUUAAUCGGAAUUACUGGGCGUAAAGCGCACGCAGGCGGUUUGUUAAGUCAGAUGUGAAAUCCCCGGGCUCAACCUGGGAACUGCAUCUGAUACUGGCAAGCUUGAGUCUCGUAGAGGGGGGUAGAAUUCCAGGUGUAGCGGUGAAAUGCGUAGAGAUCUGGAGAAAUACCGGUGGCGAAGGCGGCCCCCUGGACGAAGACUGACGCACAGGUGCGAAAGCGUGGGGAGCAAACGGG